GCGGGAGUGGCGGAAUUGGCAGACGCGCUAGACUCAGGAUCUAGUGGCCGUUGAGGCCGUGGAGGUUCAAGUCCUCUCUCCCGCACCA
rnacentral:tRNA from 1 species